UCCUGGAAGUAAAAAUCGUAACAAGGUUUCCGUAGGUGAACCUGCGGAAGGAUCAUUAUUGAAUGAAUUUGUGCAAGGUUGUUGCUGGUCUCAGUAAUGGGGCAUGUGCACACUUUGUUCAUUCCAUCUUCACACCUCUGUGCACUUCUCAUGAGUUGGGUUACGCCUGAAAUAUGGCAGAAGCCUGCUCAUGUGUUACUAUAAACCCAUGUUUGUUAUAGAAUGUUUCUUGUGCAUGAAUUGCAUAUAAUACAACUUUCAGCAACGGAUCUCUUGGCUCUCGCAUCGAUGAAGAACGCAGCGAAAUGCGAUAAGUAAUGUGAAUUGCAGAAUUCAGUGAAUCAUCGAAUCUUUGAACGCACCUUGCGCUCCUUGGUAUUCCGAGGAGCAUACCUGUUUGAGUGUCAUGGUAUUCUCAACUCUUUUGUUUUUGUUUCAAAAACAACUGGGCUUGGACUUGGAGGUUUUUGCUGGCAUUCAAUCCAUUUGAACACUGGCUCCUCUGAAAUGUAUUAGCUUGAACAUUAUCAAGUAUAAUCCAGCGUGAUAAUUGUCUACGUUGUUUUGUCUUGGUAUAAACUGUGUUGAAGCUUCCAACUGUCUGCAAAGACACUAUUUGAACAUCUGACCUCAAAUCAGGUAGGACUACCCGCUGAACUUAAGCAUAUCAAUAAGCCGGAGGAA
rnacentral:rRNA from 1 species